rnacentral:rRNA from 1 species
GAUGAACGCUGGCGGCGUGCCUAAUACAUGCAAGUCGAGCGAACGGACGAGAAGCUUGCUUCUCUGAUGUUAGCGGCGGACGGGUGAGUAACACGUGGAUAACCUACCUAUAAGACUGGGAUAACUUCGGGAAACCGGAGCUAAUACCGGAUGAUAUUUUGAACCGCAUGGUUCAAAAGUGAAAGACGGUCUUGCUGUCACUUAUAGAUGGAUCCGCGCUGCAUUAGCUAGUUGGUAAGGUAAUGGCUUGCCAAGGCAACGAUGCAUAGCCGACCUGAGAGGGGGGUCGGCCGCACUGGAAGUGGGACACGGUCCAGACUCCUGCGGGAGGCAGCAGUAGGGAAUCUUCCGCAGUGGGGGAGAACCUGGCGGAGCAGCGCCGCGUGAGUGAUGGAAGUGUUCGGAUCGUAAAACUCUGUUAUUGGGGAAGAACAUAUGUGUAAGUAGCUGUGCACAUCUUGACGGUACCUAAUCAGAAAGCCACGGCUAACUACGUG